AUUCGUGUAUUAAUUAAUUGUUCAGACAAUGCCGUGUUCCAAUACGUGUUCAGUUAACUAACUUGCGAGUCUUCAAACUCGAAGCUUGUUUGAAAAAACCAAAAAUGAUCCUUCCGCAGGUUCACCUACGGAAA
rnacentral:misc_RNA from 1 species